rnacentral:misc_RNA from 1 species
CAUUGGGCAAAGUGAGAGUGAGAACGAGAAAAGAAAAAUCAGAAUGUUACAGUUCCCGGCGUAUAUGACGCAGUACCCAUGGUCAACGAGGACGAUUCCGACUUCAUGUCUGCUACCGUCACAAUGGCCUCAACCUUACAGCGAAGAGCUCCUCCUUGCCAUGGAGGAAUCCGAUUUCGAAGAGAAGUGCAAUGAAAUCAGAAAGACUAACAGCAACCUCCCAGUAAUCGGGAAAACUACUGUUGAAAAUGAUAAAGAAGACUUUGAUAAUGAUGCUGACGAUGAUGAUGCUGAUAAUGCUGAGGAAUCUGAAGGUGAAGAAUUUGAGCAAGAAACUGGCUGAAGAUAGUUGCUGCCUAUUCCUUAUACUUUGGAAAGUUUAAAAUGUCAAACUGGUCUUGUGAACCCACCUCCCAAAAUGGGGGACAAGCUAUGGCAUUAAAGUUUAUGUAAACGACUAUACUUAGACUGGUUUGUUAGUUUUUAGACUGGGUUGUUAGUUUUUACAUCAAUCAGCCUUUGACCUCUGAAAAACAAUGUUCUAAGGUGUCUCGUAGAGAAUGUGUCGCUGUGGGUACACCAUAAACUCCAUUACAUCCAGUAUUUACAUCCAGUAUUGGUUAUCAUGGCAGCAAUCUCUUUUACCAGUUAUUUUCUUGUUCAUUACCGUAAGGCACAAUCAAUAUGGAUUCUGUUGACUUGUAAAUUAGCUGUCCCUUUUUCACUUAUUUAUGGCAUAGUUAAAGUGAUCAUUGAUCUUUCUUGACAAGUUUGCCAUUCUCUUCAGCUGGCAUGAACUGAAGACACCGCAUCCACAUUGUUAAAGGUAGAAAUUAAAGGGCCUCAUAAAGAUAAAGAAAUCUUAGGGUCCAAAUUCAAGGAAGUUCAAUGGAUGUGCAUUUCUUAGAAGAUGCUUCUCCUCUGGUCCACAGUUCAAGUAGAUUCCGAUUUUAGCGCCGUUUCGUCUCGCCUAAGACAAGGUAUAUCUGUCCAC